GAAAUCAAUACAACUUUCAGCAACGGAUCUCUUGGCUCUCGCAUCGAUGAAGAACGCAGCGAAUUGCGAUAAGUAAUGUGAAUUGCAGAUUUUCAGUGAAUCAUCGAAUCUUUGAACGCACCUUGCGCUCCUCGGUAUUCCGAGGAGCAUGCCU
rnacentral:rRNA from 1 species